GACGAACGCUGGCGGCGUGCUUAACACAUGCAAGUCGAGCGGUAAGGCCCUUUCGGGGGUACACGAGCGGCGAACGGGUGAGUAACACGUGGGUGACCUGCCCUCAGCUCUGGGAUAAGCCUGGGAAACCGGGUCUAGUACCGGAUAUGACUCCAUGACGCAUGUUGUGGGGUGGAAAGCCUUGUGCGGCUGAGGAUGGGCCCGCGGCCUAUCAGCUUGUUGGUGGGGUGAUGGCCUACCAAGGCGACGACGGGUAGCCGGCCUGAGAGGGCGACCGGCCACACUGGGGCUGAGACACGGCCCAGACUCCUACGGGAGGCAGCAGUGGGGAAUCUUGCGCAAUGGGCGAAAGCCUGACGCAGCGACGCCGCGUGAGGGAUGACGGCC
rnacentral:rRNA from 1 species